rnacentral:rRNA from 1 species
AUGAUCAGUGCAUGCAUGUAUGCAUGGUGCUGGCUAUGCAUGUGUAUGCAUGGUGCUCGCUAUGCAUGUCUUCACCGCAUGUGGGAACACUGGGAGCAGAGGAUAGAGUAUAUUAUUGAUAUUAUUGGUGUCGAGAUCUCACCUUCUGAUGAAAAUGGAGAUGGCCCGAGGUCAGAAGUCAAGCCAUACCGGCUGCUAAGGAAAUGGGACCAGCCAACGGAGACAACAAGAAGGUGUAUCUCAAUGGAGUAUUGCUCUUGGAAAACAGAUGUCACAAGAUUCGUGCACACCUCUACUCAUCGAUCAGCUUGA